rnacentral:rRNA from 1 species
UACGUAGGGUGCAAGCGUUGUCCGGAAUUAUUGGGCGUAAAGAGCUCGUAGGCGGCCUGUCGCGUCGGCUGUGAAAACCCGGGGCUCAACCCCGGGCCUGCAGUCGAUACGGGCAGGCUAGAGUCCGGCAGGGGAGACUGGAAUUCCUGGUGUAGCGGUGAAAUGCGCAGAUAUCAGGAGGAACACCGGUGGCGAAGGCGGUUCUCUGGGCCUUACCUGACGCUGAGGAGCGAAAGCGUGGGGAGCGAACAGG